AUGGCAGACUCCUGUGGGUCUGGACCAGGGAGCAGCUGGCUGUCCUAUGACAAGAUACCUGGAAUCAGUAAGCGUGUGUGCAUCUGUGGGAACCCUGGAGGGAAAACUCUGAAUGGUGGGUUGUUCCCAAAUACUGACAGGAUCUAUAAAGUACUCACUGAGGGUCUGGCCGUGGCCAGCCGGUUUGUGCGUGCUGCGUGUGCGGCCGCGUGGGCUAUGGGGCGGCGGUCGCGGGGCCGGCGCGGCGAAGCGGGCUGGGAAGGAGGCUACCCCGAGAUCGUCAAGGAGAACAAGCUGUUCGAGCACUACUACCAGGAGCUCAAGAUCGUGCCCGAGGGCGAGUGGGGCCAGUUCAUGGACGCUCUCAGGGAGCCCCUCCCGGCCACUUUAAGAAUUACUGGUUACAAAAGCCAUGCAAAAGAGAUUCUCCAUUGCUUAAAGAACAAAUAUUUUAAGGAAUUGGAGGACCUGGAGGUGGACGGUCAGAAAGUUGAAGUUCCACAGCCACUGAGUUGGUAUCCUGAAGAACUUGCCUGGCACACAAAUUUAAGUCGAAAAAUCUUGAGAAAAUCGCCACAGUUGGAAAAGUUUCAUCAGUUUCUAGUUAGUGAAACUGAAUCUGGAAAUAUCAGUCGUCAAGAAGCUGUUAGCAUGAUCCCACCACUACUUCUCAACGUCCGGCCUCAUCAUAAGAUCUUAGAUAUGUGUGCAGCACCUGGCUCAAAGACCACACAGUUAAUUGAAAUGCUACAUGCCGACAUGAAUGUCCCCUUUCCAGAGGGAUUUGUUAUUGCUAAUGAUGUGGACAACAAGCGCUGCUACCUGCUCGUCCAUCAAGCCAAGAGGCUGAGCAGCCCCUGCAUCAUGGUGGUCAACCAUGAUGCCUCCAGCAUACCCAGGCUCCAGAUAGAUGUGGACGGCAGGAAAGAGAUCCUCUUCUAUGAUCGAAUUUUAUGUGAUGUCCCUUGCAGUGGAGACGGCACUAUGAGAAAAAACAUUGAUGUUUGGAAAAAGUGGACCACCUUAAAUAGCUUGCAGCUACAUGGCUUACAGCUGUGGAUUGCAAUGCGCGGGGCUGAACAGCUGGCUGAAGGUGGAAGGAUGGUGUAUUCCACAUGUUCACUAAACCCUAUUGAGGAUGAAGGAGUCAUAGCAUCUUUACAGGAAAAAAGUGAAGGUGCUUUGGAGCUCGCUGAUGUGUCUGAUGAACUGCCAGGGCUGAAGUGGAUGCCUGGAAUCACACAGUGGAAGGUAAUGACGAAAGAUGGGCAGUGGUUUACAGACUGGGACACCGUUCCUCACAGCAGACAUACCCAGAUCCGACCCACCAUGUUCCCUCCGAAAGACCCGGAAAAGCUGCAGGCCAUGCACCUGGAGCGAUGCCUUUGGAUAUUACCGCAUCAUCAGAAUACUGGAGGGUUUUUUGUGGCAGUAUUGGUGAAAAAAUCUUCAAUGCCGUGGAAUAAACGUCAGCCAAAGCUGCAGGGUAAAUCUGCAGAGACCAGAGAAAGCACACAGCUGAGCCCUGCAGAAGGGAAACCGCAGAUCCCUCUAAGCUGGAAAGUCCGUCAUUCACAGGAACUGGUGACACAGAAAUAGCUCAUGCAGCUGAGGAUUUAAAGAAUAAUGGCAAUAAGAAAGAUGGCGUGUGUGGUCCUCCUCCAUCAAAGAAAAUGAAGUUAUUUGGAUUUAAAGAAGACCCAUUUGUAUUUAUUCCUGAAGAUGACCCAUUAUUUCCACCUAUUGAGAAAUUUUAUGCUUUGGCGCCUUCAUUCCCGAGGAUGAAUUUGCUGACUCGGACGACAGAAGGGAAGAAGAGGCAGCUCUACAUGGUUUCUAAGGAGCUGCGGAAUGUGCUGCUGAACAACAGCGAGAAGAUGAAGGUUAUUAACACAGGGAUAAAAGUCUGGUGUCGAAAUAACAGUGGUGAAGAGUUUGACUGUGCUUUCCGGCUGGCACAGGAGGGAAUAUAUACAUUGUAUCCAUUUAUUAAUUCAAGAAUUAUUACUGUAUCAAUGGAAGAUGUUAAGAUACUGUUGACCCAGGAAAAUCCCUUUUUUAGAAAACUCAGCAGUGAGACGUACAAUCAAGCGAAGGACCUGGCAAAGGGAAGCAUCGUGCUGAAGUAUGAACCAGAUUCUGUGAAUCCAGACGCUCUGCAGUGCCCCAUCAUCUUAUGUGGAUGGCGGGGAAAGGCCUCCAUUCGAACUUUUGUGCCCAAGAAUGAGCGGCUUCAUUAUCUCAGGAUGAUGGGGCUGGAGGUGUUGGGAGAAAAGAAGAAGGAAGGGGUUAUCCUCACCAAUGAGAGUGCAGCCAGCACUGGACAGCCAGAGAAUGAGGUGCCUGAGGAACAGAGAGCAGGAGAACCCAACAGCCCAGAUGCAGAAGAGGCCAACAGUCCGGACGUGACAGCAGCCUGUGACCCUGCGGGCGUCCACCCACCCCGGUGAGCAGGCCCAAGGCAGUGGGGGCCCACAUCCCUCACACGCAAAACUGGCCUCUUCGUGUCACUGGUGUCUGAAACCGAAUCCAGAACAAGCCUGUGGCCUGUGAAGCGUCUAUUUCUAAUGACUGCACACUGGUGGGACGAUAGGAGGCUUCUGAAUGACCAGGACUGCUUUCUUGUGGAGCGGAUGAAAACAUAUUCUUUUAGCGUGUUAGAAAUCACUCGUUUUACUUUGUUUCUUUGGCCAAGCUGGGUCUAGUCUUUCUGUUGCUGGGAAUAGACAUUCAGAAGUUGUACUUCUAUCAAGAAACAGAACUCCCCUUGCGGAAAUUUCAGGUCUCUUGUUAAGCCUGUAUUGGUCUUAAGGUCCAGUAUUUUUUUAAUUAUUACUUAUAGAAAGAAUCUAUAAAUUCCUGGGGAAGUGUGUUAUAAGCUUUAAUAAUUACAUUGAGUUACACAUUAGUGGUGUGACAUUAACAUGCGGUGGGGUUAAUAUCUGAGGCCUCAGAUGACUGUGCCUUUUGGAAUAAAGGGUAAAAUAAACUCCAGAGUAAGAGCUGUAUUGUGAAUUGUCAUACUUAUUAUUGAGGGGGACUUAUGUGCUUUUAUUGAAUGGAGUGCUUUACAAUUUUUAUUUUUAAAUGGGAUUGGGAUCCUUGAAAUAUUUAAAUAAAGUCAUUAAUGAUAAAA